rnacentral:tRNA from 1 species
GGCUGGGUAGCUCAGUGGCAGAGCAUCGCACUCAUAAGGCGAAGGUCGUGGGUUCGAUCCCCACCCCAGCUACCA